CCUACGGGAGGCAGCAGUGAGGAAUAUUGGUCAAUGGGCGGGAGCCUGAACCAGCCAAGUAGCGUGCAGGACGACGGCCCUACGGGUUGUAAACUGCUUUUAUGAGGGGAUAAAGUGGGCUACGUGUAGCUUAUUGCAGGUACCUCAUGAAUAAGGACCGGCUAAUUCCGUGCCAGCAGCCGCGGUAAUA
rnacentral:rRNA from 1 species